rnacentral:rRNA from 1 species
CCUACGGGAGGCAGCAGUGGGGAAUAUUGCACAAUGGGCGAAACCCUGAUGCAGCAACGCCGCGUGAGCGAUGAAGUAUUUCGGGAUGUAAAGCUCUAUCAGCAGGGAAGAAAAUGACGGUACCUGACUAAGAAGCCCCGGCUAACUACGUGCCAGCAGCCGCGGUAAUACGUAGGGGGCAAGCGUUAUCCGGAUUUACUGGGUGUAAAGGGGGCGUAGACGGUUCUGCAAGCCAGAUGUGAAAGCCCUGGGCUCAACCCCGGGACAGCAUUUGGAACUGUAAGGCUAGAGUGUCGGAGAGGCAGGCGGAAUUCCUAGUGUAGCGGUGAAAUGCGUAGAUAUUAGGAGGAACACCAGUGGCGAAGGCGGCCUGCUGGACGAUAACUGACGUUGAGGCACGAAAGCGUGGGGAGCAAACAGGAUUAGAUACCCCGGUAGUC